rnacentral:snoRNA from 1 species
AGGCCAACCAAUUCAUCUGCUUAUCUGAAUGUAUUCCUGUAAAACUCUCUGAAAAGCUGGCAGUAGUGAUGCCAUGGCAAGGACCUCUAAAGUUGUUAACGUCCCGGAAAAAUGCUGCGAUG